CCUACGGGUGGCUGCAGUGGGGAAUAUUGGACAAUGGGGGGAACCCUGAUCCAGCCAUGCCGCGUGUGUGAAGAAGGCCCUCGGGUUGUAAAGCACUUUCAGUGAGGAAGAACGCCUGGUGGUUAAUACCCAUCAGGAAAGACAUCACUCACAGAAGAAGCACCGGCUAACUCCGUGCCAGCAGCCGCGGUAAUACGGAGGGUGCGAGCGUUAAUCGGAAUUACUGGGCGUAAAGCGCGCGUAGGUGGCUUGAUAAGCCGGUUGUGAAAGCCCCGGGCUCAACCUGGGAACGGCAUCCGGAACUGUCAAGCUAGAGUGCAGGAGAGGAAGGUAGAAUUCCCGGUGUAGCGGUGAAAUGCGUAGAGAUCGGGAGGAAUACCAGUGGCGAAGGCGGCCUUCUGGACUGACACUGACACUGAGGUGCGAAAGCGUGGGUAGCAAGCAGGAUUAGAUACCCUUGUAGUC
rnacentral:rRNA from 1 species